UCCGUGUUAACCACGGCAGUCUCUUUAGAGAGCCCAACUGAAUGCUGGCAACUAAAGACAAGGGUUGCGCUCGUUGCGGGACUUAACCCAACAUGUCACCACACGAGCUGACGACAGCCAUGCAGCACCUGUCUACAGGUCGUAUUGCUACGAAAGCUCGAUCUCUCGAGUUGUCCUGCGAUGUCAAACCCAGGUAAGGUUCUUCGCGUUGCUUCGAAUUAAACCACAUGAUCCACCGCUUGUGCGGGCCCCCGUCAAUUCCUUUGAGUUUUAGUCUUGCGACCGUACUUCCCAGGCGGGGUACUUAGUGCGUUAGCUCCGGUUCGGCGGGGGUCAAGACCCACCAAACCUAGUACCCAUCGUUUACAGCGUGGACUAC
rnacentral:misc_RNA from 1 species